AAGUAAAAGUCGUAACAAGGUUUCCGUAGGUGAACCUGCGGAAGGAUCAUUAUUGAAAUAAACCUGAUGAGUUGCUGCUGGUUCUCUAGGGAGCAUGUGCACACUUGUCAUCUUUAUAUCUCCACCUGUGCACCUUUUGUAGACCUGGAUAUCUUUCUGAAUGCGCCUAGCAUUCAGGUUUGAGGAUUGACUCUUGUCUUUCCUUACAUUUCCAGGCCUAUGUUUCUUCAUAUACCCCAUGUAUGUYAUAGAAUGUAAUAAUGGGCCUUUGCGCCUAUAAACUUAUACAACUUUCAGCAACGGAUCUCUUGGCUCUCGCAUCGAUGAAGAACGCAGCGAAAUGCGAUAAGUAAUGUGAAUUGCAGAAUUCAGUGAAUCAUCGAAUCUUUGAACGCACCUUGCGCUCCUUGGUAUUCCGAGGAGCAUGCCUGUUUGAGUGUCAUUAAUAUAUCAACCUCCUCAAGUUUUACUUGUUGAGUGUUGGAUGUGGGGGCUUUUUUGCUGGUCUCUUUGAGAUCAACUCCCCUGAAAUGCAUUAGCGGAACAUUUUGUUGACCGUUCAUUGGUGUGAUAACUAUCUACGCUAUUGACGUGAAGCAGUUCAGCUUCUAACAGUCCAUUUGCUUGGACAAUUUUUCAUUAAUGUGACCUCAAAUCAGGUAGGACU
rnacentral:rRNA from 1 species